rnacentral:rRNA from 1 species
GACGAACGCUGGCGGCGUGCUUAACACAUGCAAGUCGAACGCACGGCCUUGGGGUUUUCUUGGGGUUGGUGAGUGGCGAACGGGUGAGUAACACGUGAGUAACCUGCCCUCUUCUUUGGGAUAACGGUCGGAAACGGCUGCUAAUACUGGAUAUUCACACAUUGUCGCAUGGUGGUGUGUGGAAAGGUUUUUUCUGGUGGGGGAUGGGCUCGCGGCCUAUUAGCUAGUUGGUGAGGUAACGGCUCACCAAGGCGACGAUCAGUAGCCGGUCUGAGAGGAUGAACGGCCACAUUGGGACUGAGAUACGGCCCAG